GCAACAGCACGAGUGCAGCAGUCAGAGCUGGGACACAGCGCAGCGCUGCUUUGGCUCCCCGUGUGAGUGUGAGCGCUCUCCCGAUGGCAGGACAUCACAGCACAGAGCCGCCCAGAUCGAGGCUGAGGGUGGAUGGGGCCCACG